rnacentral:rRNA from 1 species
GACGAACGCUGGCGGCGUGCUUAACACAUGCAAGUCGAACGGAAAGGCCUGCUUUCCCUUGUGGAUUGCGGGUGCUCGAGUGGCGAACGGGUGAGUAACACGUGAGUGAUCUGCCCCCAACUUGGGUAUAAGCCUGGGAAACUGGGUCUAAUUCCCGAUAGGACUGCAGGGUGGUGCCUGUGGUGGAAAACGAUUUUCUAGUGGUUGGGGAUGAGCUCGCGGCCUAUCAGCUUGUUGGUGGGGUAAUGGCCUACCAAGGCGGCGACGGGUAGCCGGCCUGGGAGGGUGGACGGCCACAUUGGGACUGGGAUACGGCCCAGACUCCUACGGGAGGCAGGAGUGGGGAAUAUUGCACAAUGGGCGGAAGCCUGAUGCAGCGACGCCGCGUGGGGGAUGACGGCCUUCGGGUUGUAAACUCCUUUCGACCGCGAGGAAGCCACCUGGUUGGAAGGGUGGUGACGGUAGUGGUAGAAGAAGCACCGGCUAACUACGUG